UACAGAGGGUGCGAGCGUUAAUCGGAAUUACUGGGCGUAAAGCGCGCGUAGGCGGCUUUGCAAGCCGGAUGUGAAAUCCCCGGGCUUAACCUGGGAACUGCAUUCGGGACUGCAUUGCUAGAGUAUGGGAGAGGGAAGUGGAAUUUCAGGUGUAGCGGUGAAAUGCGUAGAUAUCUGAAGGAACACCGGUGGCGAAGGCGGCAUCCUGGACCGGUAUUGACGCUGAGGCGCGAAAGCCAGGGGAGCAAACGGG
rnacentral:rRNA from 1 species